GAUGAACGCUAGCGGCAGGCUUAAUACAUGCAAGUCGUGGGGCAGCACAGAGUAGCAAUACUUGGGUGGCGACCGGCAAACGGGUGCGGAACACGUACGCAACCUUCCUUCAGGCGGGGAAUAGCCCAGAGAAAUUUGGAUUAAUACCCCAUAAAAUUUUGAGAUGGCAUCAUCUUAUUAUUAAAGCUUCGGCACCUGAUGAUGGGCGUGCGGCUGAUUAGGUAGUUGGCGGGGUAACGGCCCACCAAGCCUACGAUCAGUAGCUGAUGGGAAGGACUGGUCCGGCCGAACGGGAGUUGGACAAGGGGCCCGCUCCCACGGGAGGGAGGAGGAAGGAAUUAUGGUCAAUGGUCGGAAAGCUGGACCAGCCAUGGCGGGUGGAGGAAGGAGGUCCCUUUGGUUUUUAACUUCUUUUAUUUUGGGCGAAAAAAGGGAAUUCUUUCCCACUUGACGGUACCAGAUGAAUAAGCACCGGCUAACUCCGUGCCAGCCGCCGCAGUAACAC
rnacentral:rRNA from 1 species